UCUUAACAUGAUUGCACAACAUAAGUCGCUCUGGAUAAGAGCGUCUGCUAAAUGACUAAAA
rfam:Salmo salar isolate Sally breed double haploid chromosome ssa18, whole genome shotgun sequence.